UGGUUUAGAAUAUUACAGUGGCAAUACUGUAUUUUCCAAGAUUAUUCGUUGUAUCGUUCACGGGUGCCUAGCAAACGCAUUCGUCGGUACUCUUUUUCGAGGUGCGUGCAGUCACUGUAGCAGAUCGGCAAAAGGAAAUGCAACGGGAAGGAAAUUUACGAUUCUCGAGAAAUAAUAGCAAGGGUCUGCAGGUACAGAAGAAACGAAAUUAUACUCGGUAUGCAAUAUGGACCGAUGCGCACCUUGUGGAUAAAAACGGUCGACGUAA